ensembl:lincRNA
UCACGGCUUCCCAAACUCUCAUCUCACAAAGCAGGAGGCGGAGGCCCUGUGAGAAGAGGGCCUGGCCUGGGGACUGCGCAGUGCUGGCCAGGUGAAGGGGGCCGUCUCGGAGGCUGUGGGCCCGGUGCAGUGCGGGUGGCGGUCUCAGGAAUAGGAUGAGGCGCCCAGGCUGAGAGGGUAGGAGUUGCUGAACAGGACAGACGGGACCAGCUCUCCACACACUUCCCUGUGGCCAUCGGUGUCCACAUUCCCUGGCCUCUGUGUCCAUGGGCUCCCUGUGGCCUGAACCCACCCACAGCUCUUCUGAGGUGCCCAUGGGCUAUUGGAGUUAGUCUGCCUCCAAAAGAGAGAGAGACAGGGAGUGAGCGAGAGACAGAGUCAGAGACAGACAGAGAGAGAGUGAGCGAGACAGAGGCAUUUGGGUCCUUGUCCUGGGGUGGCUCACAGGUGAUGUGUGAGGGGUGUGACUGAAGAAGCCCUUGCCUGGUGUCCAGACAGCUCAGAGACGGAGUCACACCCCAGGGCCCCCUGGAGCAGAGUCACCGGGCGGCAGAGUCCAGGGCCACUCACAUCCCACACGCACUGCAGAAGGCAGCGGCUUCCUGGACAGGUUUCCCCUGUGAGCGGCAGUCUCACGUCUGGGUGCUGCUGGCUCCUGGUGUCCUACAUCUGGGACAGCAGCCUACGGAACUGAUCGCCAGCUUCUCCACCGCUGACCAGCCGGGACACCUUGUAUCGCCUGCUCUCCUCCAGCUCUCGGUUUGUCUACCUGCAAAGCAGUCACAGUGGUGCUGGGCUCUGGGCGGUGCUUGCUGUAACAGCCAGGCGAGCAGGGUAACUCCCUCCCCUCUCGCCAUCCCCGGCACUUUCCAGGGCUCGGCCUCAGGUAUCCCCUUGGCAAGCAGGGACCUGACCACUCAGGACUGUCUAGAGGAUCCAGGGGAUGGUUAGGCUCCCGGCCUGGAACGGAGAAGGUGUCCACACAUCAUGACUCACACUGAAAGUCACAGCCAGGACGGGAGGAUCAGCUGGAGCACAGCAAAGUUGGAGCCAGGGAGGAAAGCAGGAUUUGCAAAUGGUUCAGCAAGACCACAUUUAUUAAUGCAGUUCAGUUGUAUAAUUCUUUGUAUAAUUAGCAAGAGAUCAUAACGCUGAGUGAAAGAAAUCAGACACAGAAUGGCAGAGGGUGCGUGCUUUCUCUGCUAUGAGAAACCCAGGACAAAUAAUUUAAACAGCAAAAUAUAAAGGAGAGGUGGUGUGGAUUGACCACUAGGGUGGUCAACUUACAACCCCCAGCUGAACUGAGUAAGCGUGGCGCCGGGUGUGGGAGGCCCACCUGAGGACUGUUGCCAGCAGCAUAAGAGGCAGAACUGGAGAAGAAGAGGUGAGGCUGUUGGGAGCUGAGAGAGGCUGUUGGGAGCUGGUAGAAACUGUAAGGAGCUGUUGGUUGUUUCAGAGGAGCUCAUCAUGCUGACUUUCCUGAUAAACUUGGCUGUUCUCACCCCCGAGACGCUCGGGGCCUUGUCGCUGAGGAUGGCUUCACUUCACUUUCGGGGAGCUCUGGUCCUCACUUGGAGCAUCGCUUCCUGGCUCCAGAGGGGAAGAUGGUGCACUGCCGGUCUCCUGAGAAACUUGCUGCGUUGGCUUCCCUGAUGGGAACUUGGCUGUCCUGACCAUCGGAGGAGCUCAGGACUUCACUGUUGCUGAGGACGACUGUGGUACUUUUCAGGGGAGCUCUGGUUCUUACUUUGCGCAUAACUUCCUGGCUGCAGUGCAGAUCCUUCACCCUGCUAGCACAGAUCCUUCAUCCCACUGGCACAGACUUCCUAGAUUCCAC